GGGCCCGCACAAGCGGAGGAACAUGUGGUUUAAUUCGAUGAUACGCGAGGAACCUUACCCGGGCUUGAAAUGCAGACGACCGACCAGGAAACUGGUCUUCCAGCAAUGGCGUCUGUGUAGGUGCUGCAUGGUUGUCGUCAGCUCGUGCCGUGAGGUGUCGGCUUAAGUGCCAUAACGAGCGCAACCCUUAUCAUUAGUUACUAACAGGUUACGCUGAGGACUCUAAUGAGACUGCCACCGUAAGGUGUGAGGAAGGUGGGGAUGACGUCAAAUCAGCACGGCCCUUACGUCCGGGGCGACACACGUGUUACAAUGGGGGGUACAGAGGGUCGCUACCUGGUGACAGGAUGCUAAUCUCAUAAAGCCUCUCUCAGUUCGGAUCGGAGUCUGCAACUCGACUCCGUGAAGCUGGAUUCGCUAGUAAUCGCGCAUCAGCCAUGGCGCGGUGAAUACGUUCCCGGGCCUU
rnacentral:rRNA from 1 species